rnacentral:rRNA from 1 species
UAGGGAAUUUUCCGCAAUGGGCGAAAGCCUGACGGAGCAACGCCGCGUGAGGGAGGAAGGCCUUCGGGUCGUAAACCUUUGUCAUCGAGGACGAUAAUGACGGUACUCGAGGAGGAAGCCCCGGCUAACUACGUGCCAGCAGCCGCGGUAACACGUAGGGGGCGAGCGUUGUCCGGAAUUACUGGGCGUAAAGGGCGCGUAGGCGGCCCAAUAAGUCAGAUGUGAAAGUCCUGGGCUUAACCCAGGGAUUGCAUUUGAAACUGUUGGGCUUGAGGACAGGAGAGGAAAGCGGAAUUCCCAGUGUAGCGGUGAAAUGCGUAGAUAUUGGGAGGAACACCAGUGGCGAAGGCGGCUUUCUGGACUGUCCCUGACGCUGAGGCGCGAAAGCCAGGGGAGCGAACG